rnacentral:rRNA from 1 species
UACGUAGGGGGCAAGCGUUGUCCGGAAUCAUUGGGCGUAAAGAGCGUGUAGGCGGCCCGAUAAGUCCGCCGUGAAAGCCCAGGGCUCAACCCCUGGGAUGCCGGUGGAUACUGUCGGGCUAGAGUUCGGAAGAGGCAAGUGGAAUUCCUGGUGUAGCGGUGAAAUGCGCAGAUAUCAGGAGGAACACCUAUGGCGAAGGCAGCUUGCUGGGACGACACUGACGCUGAGACGCGAAAGCGUGGGGAGCAAACAGG